rnacentral:tRNA from 1 species
GAGCAUGUCUGCCGGGUGGCCGGCAGCCUGGCUGGAAACCAGGUGGGCCCUCCGGGGCCCGUGGUUCGACUCCAUCGUGUUCC